rnacentral:sRNA from 1 species
AUCUUGGACCGUCUUGAUGCUACAAUCUUUAG